AGUAACGCGUGGGUAACCUGCCUUAUACAGGGGGAUAACAGUCAGAAAUGACUGCUAAUACCGCAUAAGCGCACAGAGCUGCAUGGCUCGGUGUGAAAAACUCCGGUGGUAUAAGAUGGACCCGCGUUGGAUUAGCUAGUUGGUGAGGUAACGGCCCACCAAGGCGACGAUCCAUAGCCGGCCUGAGAGGGUGAACGGCCACAUUGGGACUGAGACACGGCCCAG
rnacentral:rRNA from 1 species